rnacentral:rRNA from 1 species
UACGUAGGGGGCAAGCGUUAUCCGGAAUUACUGGGCGUAAAGCGCACGCAGGCGGUUCGCCAAGUUUGGAGUGACAGUUGUCGGCUCAACCGACAAAGGACUUCAAAAACUGGUGAACUUGAGGACGGAGAGAGGAACAUGGAACUCCAGGUGUAGUAGUGAAAUGACGUAGAUAUCUGGAAGAACACCAAUGGCGAAGGCAAUGUUCUGGCUCGUUUCUGACGCUCAGGUGCGAAAGCCAGGGGAGCGAAC